rnacentral:snoRNA from 1 species
GGCCGGUGAAGAAAACCUUCUGCCAUAUGAGUACACUGAUUAUACAGCAACCGUUCCAUUUAUUUCUGAGGCU